CCUACGGGAGGCAGCAGUGGGGAAUAUUGCACAAUGGGGGAAACCCUGAUGCAGCAACGCCGCGUGAGUGAUGACGGCCGUCGGGGUGUAAAGCUCUGUCUGCAGGGACGAGAAUGACGGUACCUGAGGAGGAAGCCACGGCUAACGACGUGCCAGCAGCCGCGGUAAUACGUAGGGUGCGAGCGUUGGCCGGAUUUACUGGGCGUAAAGGGAGCGUAGGCGGACUUUUAAGUGAGAUGUGAAAUACUCGGGCUCAACUUGAGUGCUGCAUUUCAAACUGGAAGUCUUGAGUGCAGGAGAGGUGAUUGGACUUCCUUGUGUAGCGGUGCACUGCGUAGAGCUUCGGCA
rnacentral:rRNA from 1 species